AAUAACUUUGUAGCUUAUUGCUUGUUUGAUCACGCCAUUACUUGGUUGAAUGUGUAGCUGCGUCACAACUUAAGGUAUGAUUACCUGGUCAAUCGUGCUUCAGUGU